rnacentral:rRNA from 1 species
CCCUUAGAUGUUCUGGGCCGCACGCGCGCUACACUGAUGCAUUCAACAAGCCUAGCCUUGACCGAGAGGUCCGGGUAAUCUUUGAAACUGCAUCGUGAUGGGGCUAGAUUAUUGCAAUUAUUAAUCUUCAACGAGGAAUGCCUAGUAAGCGUGAUUCAUCAAAUCGCGUUGAUUACGUCCCUGCCCUUUGUACACACCGCCCGUCGCUCCUACCGAUUGAAUGUGUUGGUGAGGAGCUCGGAUUGGCAGCAGUUGGUGGUUCGCCACCUGCUAUUGCUGAGAAGUCCUCCAAACCGCCCCAUUUAGAGGAAGGAGAAGUCGUAACA